AUUGAACGCUGGCGGCAGGCCUAACACAUGCAAGUCGAGCGGUAGAGAGGUGCUUGCAUCUCUUGAGAGCGGCGGACGGGUGAGUAAUUUUGCCUAGGAAUCUGCCUAGUGGUGGGGGAUAACGUUCGGAAACGGACGCUAAUACCGCAUACGUCCUACGGGAGAAAGCGGGGGAUCUUCGGACCUCGCGCCAUUAGAUGAGCCUAGGUCGGAUUAGCUAGUUGGUGAGGUAAUGGCUCACCAAGGCGACGAUCCGUAACUGGUCUGGGAGGAUGAUCAGUCACACUGGAACUGAGACACGGUCCAGACUCCUACGGGAGGCAGCAGUGGGGAAUAUUGGACAAUGGGCGAAAGCCUGAUCCAGCAUGCCGCGUGUGUGAAGAAGGUCUUCGGAUUGUAAGCACUUUAAGUUGGGAGGAAGGGUAGUAACCUAAUUAACGUUGUCGUACUUUGACGUUACCGACAGAAUAAGCACCGGCUAACUUCGUGCCAGCAGCCGACGG
rnacentral:rRNA from 1 species